GCCGGGGCAACUCGGCGAGUACAGCGGCGGAAGGGUGCGUAAUACAUGGACAACGUACCUCCCAGUUGGGGAUAACCCACCGAAAGGUGGGCUAAUACCGAAUGACGGCGGCCGGUGGCAUCAUUGGCCGCUCAAAGCCGCGAGGCGCUGGGGGAGCGAUCCAUGGCCUAUCAGCUAGUUGGCGGGGUAACGGCCCACCAAGGCGAUGACGGGUAGCCGGACUGAGAGGUCGACCGGCCACACGGGAACUGAGACACGGUCCCGACACCUACGGGUGGCAGCAGUAGGGAAUCUUGCGCAAUGGGCGAAAGCCUGACGCAGCGACGCCGCGUGGGGGAUGAAGGCCUUCGGGUUGUAAACCCCUUUCAUGAGGGACGAAUACUGACUUAACCUCAGGAAGAAGCACCGGCUAACUCCGUGCCAGCAGCUGCGGUAAUACGGAGAGUGCGAACGUUGUUCGGAUUUACUGGGCGUAAAGGGCACGUAGGCGGCCCGGCAAAUCAGUCGUGGAAUUCUGCCGCUCACCGGCGGAACGGCGGCUGAAAAUACCGGGAUCGAGGGCGUGAGGGGUCGCUGGAACUCCUGGUGAAGCGGUGAAAUGCGUAGAUAUCAGGAGGAACGCCGGAGGCGAAAGCGAGCGACUGGCGCGUUCCUGACGCUGAGGUGCGAAAGCCAGGGGAGCAAACAGGAUUAGAUACCCUGGUAGUCCUG
rnacentral:rRNA from 1 species